GUCCCUACGGGGCGCAGCAGUGGGGAAUAUUGGGCAAUGGGCGCAAGCCUGACCCAGCGACGCCGCGUGAGGGAAGACGGUCUUCGGAUUGUAAACCUCUUUCAGCAGGGAAGACAAAAGGACGGUACCUGCAGAAGAAGCCACGGCUAACUACGUGCCAGCAGCCGCGGUAAUACGUAGGUGGCAAGCGUUAUCCGGAUUUAUUGGGUUUAAAGGGUGCGUAGGCGGAUUUUUAAGUCAGCGGUAAAAUGUCCGGGCUCAACCCGGGCCGGCCGUUGAAACUGGGGAUCUUGAGUGGGCGAGAA
rnacentral:rRNA from 1 species